UAGAAUUGUCAAGCUAGAAGGGACCUUGAAGGUCUUUAGGUGCAAUUUGAAUUUAAACAAGGAUUUGUGCAUGAUAAUGCCUCCAAUGAGUAGUCAUGCAGUUUUCCCUUCAAGAUCUUGAUGGGGGAGCACUCACCCUGAGGCAGUUCAUUCCCUUUCUAGACAGCUUUAAUUAUUAAGAAGUUCUUGACACUUUUGUCUGUUUGCUUUACUUUGUGUUGUUUUCUCUUAUCUAAUGAAAAGGAAGGCCUUCCUCCCUGGAGACAAAUCUAACUGACCUCUGAGGCUACUUUCAAUAUGGGGAUGCAAUGAUCCUAUAUUCUAACUUAAGUCUUGAUCCUGACCUUAAGUAAAGGAAAAUAACAAAGUUAAACAUUACACAAUUUAAAAAUUAGAAUUACUAAAGGGAUAGAUGGUACUUUGAAAUCAUUAAGGAAGAAAGCAUUUUUAGUUUGGAGGGAAGGAAACAGCAAUCUUUUUUUUUUUUUUUUUUUUUUUUUUUUUACAGUAGACAUUUGUUGUGCCAUAAAACACUAUGGCAUUGUAAUGAAGCCUAUGGAUCCCUUAUCAGAAGAAUAUUUUUAUCUGCAUAAAAUAAACUAUGUAAGGUUACAAAGGAUACUGGUUUUGAUGAAAUUAAAGUGCUCCCCACUCAAUCCAGAAACAAAAAAAAAUGAGGAAGAGCUGAGUCAAAUCUGGACACUUACUAGUUGUUUGACCUAUGGGCAAUUUACUCAAUCUCUGCCUCCUUCAGUUUCUUCAUCUGUAAAAUGGUGAUAAUAAUAGUAACUAACUACAAAAAUUGUGAGGAUCAAAUGAGAUAAUAAUUGAAAAUAGCAUAGUGCCUGGCACACAGUAGGUACUAGAUAAAUAUCAACUAGCACUGUUGCUGUAGUUGUUAUUACCAAGUUUGUGGACCACCACCACCACCACCAUCACUCCCUUCUACCGCUAUAGGAAAUGGAACUUUCACAGGGAAAGGCCCAGCUCUUGGAAAGUCAUCAGAUUUACUGGCCAUUUUACUGAAAGACACAUUCAGAAAACCUACACCACCUUGUUCACUUGGCAACCUUCAUUUUGACAAUCUGGGAAUACAGUAUGCCUGCGAAAGAACACAAAUGAAAAAAAAAGUAACACAAUCUAAGAAAAAACAGUAACUAUUAUCAACUGUGCAAAUGGGCCAGAAAGAAUAGAGAGAAAACUCACAGUGAAUUUGGCUGUUUGCCCACUGAACUGAGAACGCGUCACAGGACAUCAAUUUCAGGGAGCCUGCAGCGACUCCAUACUCCAAACAAGCAAGAUAGUCCCCAGAAUGCCUUUUGAAAGCUCCCGAGCCUGGCAGCAGGCUGAAUAUAAUGAACCAUGUUACAAAUGGGGACAUGAGACGACAGAGCUGAAGAAGGAGCCUCCUAGAAACUGUAUGGCUGUAAUUACUGAACGCUGGCUCAGUCUCAGUUGGCUCGAAACAAAGGAUCAAUAGGCUGGAGUUUGUAAAGCUCACCAAGAGAUCAGUCCAUCAAAGCCCUGUUGACAAAAAGCACCAUGAGCA